AUCCGCGUUUCCACUGCGUGUGGAGGUUUUCGUGGUUUUCGUCGGGAGUGUUGGCGAGCGGAUUCGGGCCGGUUCUGGCCGGAACUAGAGCAAUUAUAUUUUUGGAUGACUGUAUAAUUGCGAGCUGGAUUUUUUUUGUUCAUCUGGACUCAUCCGUUACAUCGACAAAAGAUCAAUCAAAAUGGAUAAAACAGAUAAACCGUGUUACUAUUUGAAAUCUCUUCCUUUGGGAAAUGAUGAAGCUCGAGCAGUAUCUAAACUUAUGUCAAACCUCAUGAGCACGGUCUUACAUACAGGUCUGGAAACUCAGACCGAUUUCGGUGGUGGGGGAUGGUCGUUUUAGCAAGGAAGAAUUUAUUUCACGGCGUUGUUACUAUGCAUCGCUGUCAUCGCGAAGUGUAGAUGGUAACCCAUGGUAACGUGACAACAAUUUUUUAAUUGCGCUUAAUUCAAGUGCAUUUUUGAAAAUGACAUAUAAUGCACAUCCUCAGUCGCUGAAUUUGUAAACAUGAAAAGUCGCGGUGGUUUGAAGCAUGCAAACCACCAUUUUUUUCAUCUUAUUCGAUAUGUUGAAUCGUGUUUUGCAAAAAAUGUCUCGCACUUGCAUGUAUUUAAAUGGUUUUCUUAAAACGAAUAAAAAGAUUUCUAACGUUUUAUUCUUAAUGCAAAGUCAUUUAUUAUUUCUUUGAGCUAAGUUGAAAUACUUUCUUCGGCUCCUGAGGACAUGGACAGCGACAUGGAUUGAAAAUAACAUCUUUCUCAUGUAAAUCUUUUUUUAUAUGACAUUUUCUUUCUUUAAAUAACUGUAACUAGUCACAGUAAAAAGGUCGAUAUCGACCUUGAUUAUGUGUACAACUACAUUGAUAUUUUUUGGAAUAAGAAUGUAUAUAAAUAUUGAAACCUGUAAAUUAACUAUGGAUUCUCGAAACGGGUAAUUAUUAUUUACUUCAUAUUCCUUUACUCAUAGCCUUCAACUUUCUAAUUAAUCUUAUAAAACCAAGGCAUACGUAAGGUAAGAAUCAGAAUUAAUACAAGUCAACCGCUCUCAUACCGAGAAUCACGCGUCAUCUUUAAAUAUUGUAAAUUAAGAAUAAAUUAUAUAUCAAUUUAUUAAUUUGCGCAUUCGUAUAAUUGGCCUUCCGUUUUUUUAUGAUCCGGUGUUCGUUAGAAUUAAGUUUCUCGUUAUGAGAAACAAUUUAUAUUGAUAUUGUUUAUUGAUAUCGUUUGUAUUCGAAGAGAGAUAUUUCUUUUCCAUAAAAUAACAUUAUAUCUUACAAAGUAAAUUAUUUCUUAUUGUUUUAUUAUAAUUAGAUUCCAAAUAAAGGAUGAAAAAGAGCUUGGUCGAAAUAACUAACUAUUGUAAAACAAAAAUCGUGUUGUCUAUAUUGUUCAUUUAGCAAUCUAAAACACACUAGGAAGGCACAGUAUUAUAUAUGCUUCACGCAGAAUUUUUAUUCCCUCAGUAUCGCUCGGUCAGUAUUUGUCCUUAUAAAGAUACGAAUAAAAAGAUUUCUAACGUUUUAUUCUUAAUACAAAGUUAUUUAUUAUUCCUUUCCUCAUUUGAAACUUCAAUUAUUGCCUAUUUGACACUCACGAUUUUGAAUUUACUAAUUACUAUUUCCGUCCUUGUCCUACCACAUAAUACACUGACCGAUGGCAGCGACUCUUACGGUCACAAAGCGAGUUAUUUUCUUCGUCGCUAAGGCGACCAUCCCCCACCACUAGAGUUUCCAGACCUGUAUGUAAGACCGUGCUCAUGAGUAACUCUCUUGCCCAAGAGUAUAACUUCGAUGGUCAUGGAACUAAAUUGACUUUCAAAUCCACAAAAUUAUGGGAAUUGGUACAAUAAGGUACAUUGUUGUUAAAAUUUGAAGAAAGUGAUCUGAGUGAAGCAUUGAAGUCUCUCAGACCAUGGCUGCGAAAUGCCAAAGGAAGAAUGAAACCUGCACAUUAGUAUUACAGGUUUAUUGUGAUGUAGAAAUAUCGACAUGCUCUUUUUACGUCGGAACGAAGUGACACCACCAGAGGUGCAAGAUAGUUCAAGCUUUAGAUACACUGCAAGAUAGACCAAAUAAUUUUGUAAGAGAACCCUGCGGGGUGUUUAUCGCGAAAAGCCACUGUUGCGAUGGCCGAGUCUCGUAGAUCAUCCUAGUAGGACAAUCAUAGAGUUACGCGUUUUUGUUUAGACGCGCUAGUAAAUUUUAUUUUAUUUUAUUUUUUUAUUUUUACGAUUCCGAUAAAAAUGUGGGAGCGAGGGUUCAUAGAGAGAGAGUGGAUUUGUGAAUCUGGCGUUCAAUUGCGGAUGUCUUGUUAUAAACAUGUAAGUGCGAGUUCGUCAAUUUCUGCCCAGACUUAACUAUAGCGAACGAGAGAAUUGCUAAAUAAUAAAAUGAUUAUAAUGACAUUAGUAUAUAUAAUACAUAUACCAUAUAUAUAUACUGAUACGAUACUGAAGCAUCAUCUUUUGUAUCAUUUGUUCGUUUGUUUUUAUCUUACUGCGUUUGUCUUUCAUUAUUAAUACAAUACCAAGAUGACUCGGUUUCGACUCGGUAUCUUGUGUGUAAAUAUAUAUCCGCUCAUAAAAAAACCGUGUAAGAAUAACUAAUAAAAAAAUAUGUAUACAAAUGCAACGAGGGCAAGUCUUAUCGACG